UGCCAGCAGCCGCGGUAAUACGGAGGGGGCUAGCGUUGCUCGGAAUUACUGGGCGUAAAGCGCGCGUGGGCGGUGCAUCUAGUGAGGCGUGAAAGCCCUGGGCUUAACCCAGGAACUGCGUUUCAUACUGGUCAUCUAGAGUGGAUGAGAGGUAAGUAGAAUUCCUCGUGUAGUGGUGAAAUGCGUAGAUAUGAGGAAGAAUACCAGUGGCGAAGGCGACUUACUGGCAUCCAACUGACGCUCAGACGCGAAAGCAUGGGUAGCGAACGGGAUUAGAUA
rnacentral:rRNA from 1 species